UACGGAGGAUCCGAGCGUUAUCCGGAAUUAUUGGGUUUAAAGGGUGCGUAGGCGGCUUUUUAAGUCAGCGGUGAAAUUUUGCAGCUUAACUGUAACAGUGCCGUUGAUACUGGGGAGCUAGGAUUUGGUUGCUGUGGGUGGAAUGUGUGGUGUAGCGGUGAAAUGCUUAGAGAUCACACAGAAUAUCGAUUGCGAAGGCAGCUCACAAAGCCAAGAUUGACGCUGAGGCACGAAAGUGUGGGGAUCAAACAGGAUUA
rnacentral:rRNA from 1 species